rnacentral:rRNA from 1 species
GAGUUUGAUCGUGGCUCAGGAUGAACGCUGGCGGCGUGCUUAAUACAUGCAAGUCGAACGGGAAAUGCAGCAAUGUAUUUCUAGUGGCGAAUGGGUGCGUAACACGUGGGUGACGUGCCCCGAAGUUUGGAAUAACAGCUCGAAAGAGCUGCUAAUACCGGAUGUGGUCUUGGUGUUUAGAAAUCCAAGUCUAAAGCAGCAAUGCGCUUCGGGAGCGGCCUGCGGUCCAUCAGCUAGUUGGUAGGGUAACGGCCUACCAAGGCAACGACGGAUAGGGGACCUGAGAGGGUGGCCCCCCACACUGGCACUGACACACGGGCCAGACGCCUACGGGUGGCAGCAGUAAGGAAUAUUGCUCAAUGGGCGAAAGCCUGAAGCAGCAACGCCGCGUGCAUGAUGAAGGCCUU